GAUGAACGCUGGCGGCGUGCCUAAUACAUGCAAGUCGAGCGAACAGACGAGGAGCUUGCUCCUCUGACGUUAGCGGCGGACGGGUGAGUAACACGUGGAUAACCUACCUAUAAGACUGGGAUAACUUCGGGAAACCGGAGCUAAUACCGGAUAAUAUAUUGAACCGCAUGGUUCAAUAGUGAAAGACGGUUUUGCUGUCACUUACAGAUGGAUCCGCGCCGCAUUAGCUAGUUGGUAAGGUAACGGCUUACCAAGGCAACGAUGCGUAGCCGACCUGAGAGGGUGAUCGGCCACACUGGAACUGAGACACGGUCCAGACUCCUACGGGAGGCAGCAGUAGGGAAUCUUCCGCAAUGGGCGAAAGCCUGACGGAGCAACGCCGCGUGAGUGAUGAAGGUCUUCGGAUCGUAAAACUCUGUUAUUAGAGAAGAACAAAUGUGUAAGUAACUAUGCACGUCUUGACGGUACCUAAUCAGAAAGCCACGGCUAACUACGUG
rnacentral:rRNA from 1 species